UACAUUGAGAGAGACUGGUCUUCAAUCAUCAAAUUUGAUUUCUUGGUAUUGAAAUACCAAAAGCAAUGACAAGCAAUGAAUAGUCAGGUGAUAUGUGAGGUUUUGCUUCCAUAGGUUGAUGGCUUGGUGAUUGAGGAUGCAGUAAUUUGUAGUGACAUCCAUGUUUUGGCUUCAUUAAUUAGGAGGAACCAAAGCUGCAAAGGAGGUUUUUGAGCUCAUGAUGUCACAGUUUUACGUACUUCUUUGUGUCACAGUUGUCAAACUGACGUCUCAAUAUUUUCUUGCGAACGAAGCUGACCUCUUAGGCAAUAGUUUUUUUCCCUUACUGUGAAUACAUCCGUCCAAUUCCUCUUCAAAUUGGGCUCGAUUGCAAUAGUUGUUUUUUACAUGAAUUCAUUUGAACUGAUGUUGUGCUCUG
rnacentral:sRNA from 1 species